rnacentral:pre_miRNA from 1 species
CAAUGAUGAUGAUGAUGAUGAUGAUGAUGAUGAUGAUGAUGCGGAGGAAGAGGAUAGUCCACCGUAGUCAUCACCAUCUUCAUCAUCGUCAUUAUCAUCAUCAUCGUCA